rnacentral:rRNA from 1 species
AUUGAACGCUGGCGGCAUGCCUUACACAUGCAAGUCGAACGGUAACGGGCCUUCGGGUGCCGACGAGUGGCGAACGGGUGAGUAAUACAUCGGAACGUGCCCGAUCGUGGGGGAUAACGAGGCGAAAGCUUUGCUAAUACCGCAUACGAUCUACGGAUGAAAGCAGGGGACCGCAAGGCCUUGCGCGGACGGAGCGGCCGAUGGCAGAUUAGGUAGUUGGUGGGAUAAAAGCUUACCAAGCCGACGAUCUGUAGCUGGUCUAAGAGGAUGAUCAGCCACACUGGGACUGGGACACGGCCCAGACUCCUACGGGAGGCAACAGUGGGGAAUUUUGGACAAUGGGCGCAAGCCUGAUCCAGCCAUGCCGCGUGCAGGAUAAAGGCCUUCGGGUUGUAAACUGCUUUUGUACGGAACGAAAAGCCUUCUUUUAAUACAGGAGGGUCAUGACGGUGCCGUAAGAAUAAGCACCGGCUAACUACGUG